UUAUUGCGCAUCUUCUUUGAAAGGUUCUA
rnacentral:piRNA from 1 species